CUCCACUAGGCAGGUUUCUCAUGAACCUCGCCCGCCACCCAGUCAGUUGUAGCUGCCUGAAGAGCCGUGAAGUUUAGAUUCCUCUUAGCCGCGGUAUCUGGAGCGUCCCACUUCGUCACAAUAGGAAAAAAAUCAUGGAGACGUAUUAUAUAUUCAGCAUUUGGCUAUUUAAUCACCUAGGUGCUGUGCUGGGGGACUCGGUCCAGUCCAGGGAACCCCACCUCUCUGGAAGAGAAGGAGACGCUGUGACCCUCACUUGUUCUUAUGAGACCAGCUCUACCGGCUACGUCUAUCUCUACUGGUACCGCCAGUUUCCCAACCAAGCCCCGCAGUACAUUCUCUGGAGAGGAGUGAAGCAGGCCAGAGGUCGGAGUGAUACCGCAGGUUUCGCCAAGAAGAGGUUUUCUUCCCAGGUUGAUGACAGCUCCACAGUUCUGAACAUCACAGCCCUGGAGCCGGCAGACACGGCGCUGUAUCUCUGCGCCCUGAGUCUGGCACAGUGACAGAGUCACAUAGGAGAGCCGUACAAAAACCCUCCCUUCCCCGCUGCACUAGAUUUUCAGAGAUUAAUCCUGUUUGCAGAUCUCCGAAGGGGACUCCUUCCACUCUGUACAACCGCAUAUUUUGGGAUGACGAGGGGACCUCAAUUUAUUUGUUCUAGCUCCCUCUAAGAGUUAACUAUUUAAAGAGCUACAUUCAACUGUCACACUUGGAGAAUGUAAAGGGCACGAGCUUAAAUCAUGAAUCAUCUUAGACAUUUUCCUCCACAGUUCUCCAGCGGGCCUCUCCGUGUGUAGUGUGGGACCAAAAAGAAAAAAAGAAGAAGAAGAAGAAAAAAGAAAAACAAAGAAAAAAAAAAGAAGAAGAAGCUCAUUUGUACUAAACUGCGGUGUGGAAAUGUGCGGAUAAAAAUCCAGAUAACAAAUAAAAUCGAAAUCCUUAUUUCUGGUAAAAUUAGGGUGAAAAUGAGUGAGUCAAAUAUGAAAAAAAUACUGUUUAAAAUCCCAUUUGUGGAAAAAUGUGGGUGAAAUAUUUUUAAAAAUUAGGUGAAAAUACGUAUGUUGGCCAGUAUCAGAGGGGUAGCCAUGUUAGUCUGUAUGCACAAAAACAACGAAAGUUUAUGCCCAAAUAAUCGGUUAGUCUUUAAGGCGCUACCGGACUCCUCGCUGUUUUUCCAUAUGUUGGGCUGCGCGUGAUGGGGGGAAGCUACAGCGCACCACGCCGCCAAAGGGACCUGAGUAUUCAAAGGGAAGAAACACUCAUACGAUGGGCUGAUUGGUUCGGUAACUGACAUGCCUUUGUAUUACUGUUUUUUAAAAAGCACAAUUCCCACCGGUAACAGCGAUGCUCCCUAGGAGUGGGGUGUGGCGAACUAAUGGCAGAGCAGCGCCAUCUGCUGGUGAAUGGAACAAAUACGUGUUGCGAGUCGAAACCCCUUUCACUGCUCUACAGAAUUUGAAUGUUCUCCCCUUGCAGCCGGAAUGCCAG